rnacentral:rRNA from 1 species
UCCUACGGGGGGCAGCAGUGGGGGAUAUUGCACAAUGGGGGAAACCCUGAUGCAGCGACGCCGCGUGAGUGAAGAAGUAUUUCGGUACGUAAAGCUCUAUCAGCAGGGAAGAAAAAUGACGGUACCUGACUAAGAAGCCCCGGCUAACUACGUGCCAGCAGCCGCGGUAAUACGUAGGGGGCAAGCGUUAUCCGGAUUUACUGGGCGUAAAGGGAGCGUAGACGGCGUGCCAAGUCUGAUGUGAAAGGCCGGGGCUCA